rnacentral:rRNA from 1 species
UACAGAGGUCCCAAGCGUUGUUCGGAUUCAUUGGGCGUAAAGGGUGCGUAGGCGGCGCGGUAAGUCGGGUGUGAAAUCUCGGAGCUUAACUCCGAAACUGCAUUCGAUACUGCCGUGCUUGAGGACUGGAGAGGAGACUGGAAUUUACGGUGUAGCGGUGAAAUGCGUAGAUAUCGUAAGGAAGACCAAUGGCGAAGGCAGCUCGCUGGGACGGUACUGACGCUGAGACGCGAAAGCGUGGGGAGCAAACAGG